AAGGAAAGAUAGAGAGAGAAGAAAUGAUAAAUAUGUGUUUGAAGAGAGGGAGAAAGUUUCAAAAUGAAACCGUGAGAGAAAUGAGAGGGAAAAUAAAAGUGAAGUUGAUUUAGUGAUUCCAAAUGUCAAUUUAGAAUUGAUGGUAGAGUGUGAAAACUUAACACUUGGCAUGAUAUAAUAGGAUAAUGGGAUAAAUAAAUGGUAAUAUUUGUUGAUUACAUAAACGAGCUUUUGAUAAU
rnacentral:lncRNA from 1 species